UGAGGGCUCGGCGGCUGCGGAGGCGCUGGAUGCUGAGCUGCACUGCCGGGCUCCUGGCCUGGCCCUGCGCCGGGGCACACCCGUCCCGCUUCACCAGCCAGACAGAUUUAGAGACUGGAGGGGUUGAGACAGCGCUGAGCCCAAGAACAGCCGUGUAUAGCAGACCCGGAGUGCCACAGGAUGGCACUAAGCUGAGACCACAUUUCUGAUGGAUGAAAGGAGCUGAACACACGUGGGACCUGGCUUUUGGACUUGCAUAUCACCCUCCUGGGGGAUAUCCUCAUCAACAGGGUUUCCCUCACUGGAAACAGGAGCCAUUCUCAUGGAUGUCUUCCAGUUCCAAGCUCUAUCUGUCCCUUGUUGUUCAGGAUCACUUCCAACCUGCCGUCUAUCCCAGCCACUGGUCCCUGAAGCACCUGCCAGCUGCUGCCUCUUCUCUUACUCUUGCCCCGGCUAUUCCUGAUAGACUCCCAGUGUUUCUACAACAGAAAUCUAGCAGUGUAAUUCUCGCUAUUAAAAUAUCCCUAUGAGGGGCUGGCGAGAUGGCUCAGAGGUUAAGAGCACUGACUGCUCUUCCCGAGUUCAAUUCCCAGCAACCACAUGGUGGCUCACAACCAUCCAUAAAGAUAGCUGGUGCCCUCUUCUGAUGUGUAGAUGUAAAUGGAGGCAGGAUGUUGUAUUCAUAAUAAAUAAAAUCUUUUUUUAAAAGCCCGUUUAAAAAAUCCCUAUGAAUUCCCAGGGUCCAGAUAAAAACGCACUUGGGACUUAGUGGCCUCUUGACCAGUCACCCCACCUUCUGUGGAUGGCUCCUUUUGUUUUUCCUUCCCAACUGAGCACUCCCUGAGAUUAUCCUAGUCCUUGCCAUUGGGGGGGGGCAAUGAGUUCCCAUGAC